UCAUAAUCAGUGAAAACGAGUAGGGCGGGACACGUGAUAUCCUGUCUGAAUAUGGGGGGACCAUCCUCCAAGGCUAAAUACUACUGACUGACCGAUAGUGAACCAGUACCGUGAGGGAAAGGCGAAAAGAACCCCUGUGAGGGGAGUGAAAUAGAACCUGAAACCGUGUACGUACAAGCAGUAGGAGCACCUUCGUGGUGUGACUGCGUACCUUUUGUAUAAUGGGUCAGCGACUUAAUUUUAGUAGCAAGGUUAACCGUUUAGGGGAGCCGUAGGGAAACCGAGUCUUAACUGGGCGUACAGUUGCUAGGAUUAGACCCGAAACCAGGUGAUCUAGCCAUGGGCAGGUUGAAGGUUGAGUAACAUCAACUGGAGGACCGAACCGACUAAUGUUGAAAAAUUAGCGGAUGACUUGUGGCUAGGGGUGAAAGGCCAAUCAAACCUGGAGAUAGCUGGUUCUCCCCGAAAGCUAUUUAGGUAGCGCCUCGGACGAAUACUACUGGGGGUAGAGCACUGUUAAGGCUAGGGGGUCAUCCCGACUUACCAACCCUUUGCAAACUCCGAAUACCAGUAAGUACUAUCCGGGAGACACACGGCGGGUGCUAACGUCCGUCGUGGAGAGGGAAACAACCCAGACCGCCAGCUAAGGUCCCAAAGUAUAGCUAAGUGGGAAACGAUGUGGGAAGGCUCAGACAGCCAGGAUGUUGGCUUAGAAGCAGCCAUCAUUUAAAGAAAGCGUAAUAGCUCACUGGUCGAGUCGGCCUGCGCGGAAGAUGUAACGGGGCUAAGCUAUACACCGAAGCUGCGGCUACGUACCUUAGGGUAUGUGGGGUAGGGGAGCGUUCUGUAAGCCGUUGAAGGUGGUCUGUAAGGGCUGCUGGAGGUAUCAGAAGUGCGAAUGCUGACAUGAGUAACGAUAAAGGGAGUGAAAAACUCCCUCGCCGGAAGACCAAGGGUUCCUGUCCAACGUUAAUCGGGGCAGGGUAAGUCGACUCCUAAGGCGAGGCCGAAAGGCGUAGUCGAUGGGAAACGGGUUAAUAUUCCCGUACUUCUUACAAUUGCGAUGGGGGGACGGAGAAGGCUAGGUGGGCCUGGCGACGGUUGUCCAGGUUCAAGUAUGUAGGCGGGUGGUUUAGGUAAAUCCGGACCGCUACUAACGCUGAGAUACGAUGUCGAGCUACUACGGUAGUGAAGUCAUUGAUGCCAUGCUUCCAGGAAAAGCCUCUAAGCUUCAGAUUGUAAGGAAUCGUACCCCAAACCGACACAGGUGGUCGGGUAGAGAAUACCAAGGCGCUUGAGAGAACUCGGGUGAAGGAACUAGGCAAAAUGGUACCGUAACUUCGGGAGAAGGUACGCUCUUAUCAGUGAAGUCCCUUGCGGAUGGAGCAGACGAGAGUCGCAGAUACCAGGUGGCUGCAACUGUUUAUUAAAAACACAGCACUGUGCAAAAUCGUAAGAUGACGUAUACGGUGUGACGCCUGCCCGGUGCCGGAAGGUUAAUUGAUGGGGUUAGACUUCGGUCGAAGCUCUUGAUCGAAGCCCCGGUAAACGGCGGCCGUAACUAUAACGGUCCUAAGGUAGCGAAAUUCCUUGUCGGGUAAGUUCCGACCUGCACGUUACGGACAGUGCCUGGUGGGUAGUUUGACUGGGGCGGUCUCCUCCCAAAGAGUAACGGAGGAGCACGAAGGUGGGCUAAACACGGUUGGACAUCGUGUGGUUAGUGCAAUGGCAUAAGCCCGCUUGACUGCGAGAAUGACAAUUCGAGCAGGUGCGAAAGCAGGUCAUAGUGAUCCGGUGGUUCUGAAUGGAAGGGCCAUCGCUCAACGGAUAAAAGGUACUCCGGGGAUAACAGGCUGAUACCGCCCAAGAGUUCAUAUCGACGGCGGUGUUUGGCACCUCGAUGUCGGCUCAUCACAUCCUGGGGCUGAAGUCGGUCCCAAGGGUAUGGCUGUUCGCCAUUUAAAGUGGUACGCGAGCUGGGUUUAGAACGUCGUGAGACAGUUCGGUCCCUAUCUGCCGUGGGCGUUGGAAAAUUGAAAGGGGCUGCUCCUAGUACGAGAGGACCGGAGUGGACGAACCUCUGGUGUUCGGGUUGUCAUGCCAAUGGCAUUGCCCGGUAGCUAAGUUCGGAAUCGAUAACCGCUGAAAGCAUCUAAGCGGGAAGCGAGCCUUGAGAUGAGUUUUCCCUGGCACUAUAAGUGUCCUAAAGGGUUGUCGUAGACUACGACGUUGAUAGGCAGGGUGUGUAAGUGCUGCGAGGCAUUGAGCUAACCUGUACUAAUUGCCCGUGAGGCUUAACCAUACAACACCCAAGGGGUUU
rnacentral:rRNA from 1 species